rnacentral:rRNA from 1 species
GUGGGGAAUAUUGGACAAUGGGCGAAAGCCUGAUCCAGCCAUGCCGCGUGUGUGAAGAAGAUCUUCGGAUUGUAAAGCACUUUAAGUUGGGAGGAAGGGCAGUAAGUUAAUACCUUGCUGUUUUGACGUUACCGACAGAAUAAGCACCGGCUAACUUCGUGCCAGCAGCCGCGGUAAUACGAAGGGUGCAAGCGUUAAUCGGAAUUACUGGGCGUAAAGCGCGCGUAGGUGGUUUUGUAAGUUGGAGGUGAAAUCCCCGGGCUCAACCUGGGAACUGCCUCCAAAAAUGCAUGACUAGAGUACGGUAGAGGGUAGUGGAAUUUCCUGUGUAGCGGUGAAAUGCGUAGAUAUAGGAAGGAACACCAGUGGCGAAGGCGACUACCUGGACUGAUACUGACACUGAGGUGCGAAAGCGUGGGGAGCAAACAGGAUUAGAUACCCCGGUAGUCC